rnacentral:rRNA from 1 species
ACUCAAAUGAAUAGACGGGGGCCCGCACAAGCGGUGGAGCAUGUGGAUUAAUACGUCACUAACCGUAGAACCUUACCCAGGCUUGACAUCCCGGGAACCCCUUGGAAAAGAGGGGGUGCUGCGCAAGCAGAGCCCGGAGACAGGUGUUGCAUGGCUGUCGUCAGCUCGUGUCGUGAGAUGUUGGGUUAAGUCCCGCAACGAGCGCAACCCUCACCGUAUGUUGCCAGCGUAAAGACGGGCACUCUUACGGAACUGCCCGGGUAACCGGGAGGAAGGUGGGGACGACGUCAAGUCAGCAUGGCCCUUACGCCUGGGGCUUCACACAUGCUACAAUGGCCGGUACAAAGGGUUCCAAGCCCGCGAGGUGGAGGCAAUCCCAAAAAGCCGGUCUCAGUUCGGAUUGCAGGCUGCAACUCGCCUGCAUGAAGCUGGAAUCGCUAGUAACCGCCGGUCAGCUAAACGGCGGUGAAUACGUUCCCGGGCCUUGCACACACCGCCCGU